UAUGAACUGGUGCACCACGCACUAUUGAAAGAUCUGAAAAUACCUUGUAAAUACACAAAAAGAAUGAACAACCAAAAGCAAGUUACUAUGCCAGACUGUCAAGUAUUGAAUUGGAAGACCUGAAUUCUACAAAGAACUCCAUUGCAGCAAUAAAAGCAUGGACCACUUCUUUUUUAA